rnacentral:rRNA from 1 species
UACGAAGGGGGCGAGCGUUGUUCGGAUUUACUGGGCGUAAAGGGCGCGCAGGCGGUUCUGUUUGUCGAGUGUGAAAGCCCCGGGCUCAACCUGGGAACUGCGCUCGAAACGGCGGAACUAGAGUUCGGGAGAGGAGAGUGGAACUCCCAGUGUAGAGGUGAAAUUCGUAGAUAUUGGGAAGAACACCGGUGGCGAAGGCGGCUCUCUGGACCGAUACUGACGCUGAGGCGCGAAAAGCGUGGGGAGCAA